CCUACGGGUGGCAGCAGUGAGGAAUAUUGGUCAAUGGGCGCGAGCCUGAACCAGCCAAGUCGCGUGAGGGAAGACGGUCCUAUGGAUUGUAAACCUCUUUUGUCGGGGAGCAAAAGACGCCACGCGUGGCGUUCCGAGCGUACCCGAAGAAAAAGCAUCGGCUAACUCCGUGCCAGCAGCCGCGGUAAUACGGGGGAUGCGAGCGUUCUCCGGAUUUAUUGGGUUUAAGGGGUGCGCAGGCGGAAGAUCAAGUCAGCGGUAAAAUUGAGAGGCUCAACCUCAUCGAGCCGUUGAAACUGGUUUGCUUGAGUGAGUGAGAGGUAUGCGGAAUGCGUGGUGUAGCGGUGAAAUGCAUAGAUAUCACGCAGAACUCCGAUUGCGAAGGCAGCAUACCGGCGCUCAACUGACGCUCAUGCACGAAAGUGUGGGUAUCGAACAGGAUUAGAUACCCGGGUAGUC
rnacentral:rRNA from 1 species